rnacentral:lncRNA from 1 species
CAAUUAUUAACAGUGGGAGCUAAUUUCCUCACUAAUCAGGCUGAAGAUUCUUCACUUGCAGAAGCCAGUUUGCAGACAAACUGAUGCCACCCUAUGAUCACACCAUGCGCCUUCACUGCCCUCCACACGGGAGUCUUCCCAACAGCACCAACACUGAUGACAGGCAAAUGUCACAACCACACUGCAGUGGCAUGAGGAAGAACGUAGAACAAGACUCUGCAAACAUGACCAGCAUGCCUGUGGCCAUCUUGCCCACCAAGGUACCACUAUAGUCAAGCUAUCGACACUAAGGACAAAGAAUAGCUUAAAAGCUGCAAGAGAAAAGGAC